GUGAAAGUGGUAAAGUGUACAUUGUCCACCAAAGGAAUUUUUGUGAGCAAUGCCAUACGAUUAACGCGAAUUUCAGGCAAAAAAUAGAGUGUGUUUGUGUAGUCACGUCAGAAAAGUGUAAAAACAAUUACAUUGUAUUUCGUAAUCGCAACCAAUUGACCCGUGGGAGAUCGCAGUCCGCCCUCCCACAUCUGUUGUAGGAGAGUUCGCUGUAUACAAAUAACUCUGGUUAUUUCAUCCAUGUUGUGUUUUCCGCAAUGAGAUUGCAGCUGGAAAAUAACCGUAUAAACUGGUAUAAAAUACGUCUUUGAUAG